rnacentral:rRNA from 1 species
GUGAUUCUUAAAGGAAUUGACGGGGGUCCGCACAAGCAGUGGAGUAUGUGGUUUAAUUCGAAGCAACGCGAAGAACCUUACCAGGUCUUGACAUCCAACGACCGCCUAAGAGAUUAGGCUUUCCUUCGGGACGUUGAGACAGGUGGUGCAUGGUUGUCGUCAGCUCGUGUCGUGAGAUGUUGGGUUAAGUCCCGCAACGAGCGCAACCCUUAUUACUAGUUACUACGCAAGAGGACUCUAGUGAGACUGCCGUUGACAAACGGAGGAAGGUGGGGAUGACGUCAAAUCAUCAUGCCCUUUAUGACCUGGGCUACACACGUACUACAAUGGCUAUUAACAGAGAGAAGCGAGACCGCAAGGUGGAGCAAACCUCAGAAAAAUAGUCUCAGUUCGGAUUGGGGGCUGCAACCCGCCCCCAUGAAGCCGGAAUUGCUAGUAAUCGCGGAUCAGCAUGCCGCGGUGAAUACGUUCCCGGGCCUUGUACACACCGCCCGUCACACCAUGAGAGCCGGGGGGACCCGAAGUCGGUAGUCUAACCGCAAGGAGGACGCCGCCGAAGGUAAAACUGGUGAUUGGGGUGAAGUCGUAACAAGGUAGCCG